GACGAACGCUGGCGGCGUGCUUAACACAUGCAAGUCGAACGGAAAGGCCCUGCUUUUGUGGGGUGCUCGAGUGGCGAACGGGUGAGUAACACGUGAGUAACCUGCCCUUGACUUUGGGAUAACUUCAGGAAACUGGGGCUAAUACCGGAUAGGAGCUCCUGCUGCAUGGUGGGGUUGGAAAGUUUCGGCGGUUGGGGAUGGACUCGCGGCUUAUCAGCUUGUUGGUGGGGUAGUGGCUUACCAAGGCUUUGACGGGUAGCCGGCCUGAGAGGGUGACCGGCCACAUUGGGACUGAGAUACGGCCCAGACUCUUACGGGAGGCAGCAGUGGGGAAUAUUGCACAAUGGGCGGAAGCCUGAUGCAGCAACGCCGCGUGCGGGAUGACGGCCUUCGGGUUGUAAACCGCUUUCGCCUGUGACGAAGCGUGAGUGACGGUAAUGGGUAAAGAAGCACCGGCUAACUACGUG
rnacentral:rRNA from 1 species